GACGUAGGGCGCGAGCGUUGUCCGGAUUUAUUGGGCGUAAAGAGCUCGUAGGCGGCUUGUCGCGUCGACUGUGAAAUCCCGCGGCUCAACUGCGGGUCUGCAGUCGAUACGGGCAGGCUAGAGUUCGGUAGGGGAGACUGGGAAUUCCUGGUGUGAGCGGUGAAAUGUGCAGAUAUCAGGAGGAACACCGGUGGCGAAGGCGGGUCUCUGGGCCGAUACUGACACUGAGGAGCGAAAGCGGUGGGGAGCGAACAGG
rnacentral:rRNA from 1 species